UACAGAGGGUGCAAGCGUUGUUCGGAAUUAUUGGGCGUAAAGGGCGCGUAGGCGGCGCGGAUAGUCGGCGGUGAAAGCCCGGAGCUCAACUCCGGGUCGGCCGUCGAUACUUCCGGGCUUGAGCACUGUAGAGGCAGAUGGAAUUCCGGGUGUAGCGGUGGAAUGCGUAGAGAUCCGGAAGAACACCGGUGGCGAAGGCGGUCUGCUGGGCAGUUGCUGACGCUGAUGCGCGACAGCGUGGGGAGCAAACAGG
rnacentral:rRNA from 1 species